rnacentral:rRNA from 1 species
CGCCUCCUGCAAACAUCAACGUAUAGGAGGUCUCGCCUGCCCAGUGACAAGUUAAACGGCCGCGGUAUCUUGACCGUGCGAAGGUAGCGCAAUCACUUGUCUUUUAAAUGAAGACCUGUAUGAAUGGUAGAACGAGGGCUUAACUGUCUCCCUUUUUUAGUCAAUGAAAUUGAUCUGCCCGUGCAGAAGCGGACAUAACAAUACAAGACGAGAAGACCCUUUGGAGCUUAAGACUCCAGAUCAAUUAUGUCAAGAACUUAAACCAAGUUAAACCAAAUAACACCUGAUCCUAAUCUUUUGUUGGGGCGACCGCGGGAGAAAACAAAGCUCCCAUGAGGACUGGACCCACCUCCAGAACCAAGAAAGACAUCUCUAAGUCACAGAACCUCUGACCAUAAAGAUCCGGCCACCCGCCGACCAACGGACCAAGUUACCCUAGGGAUAACAGCGCAAUCCCCUUUCAGAGUCCAUAUCGACAAGGGGGUUUACGACCUCGAUGUUGGAUCAGGACAUCCUAAUGGUGCAGCCGCUAUUAAGGGUUCGUUUGUUCAACGAUUAAAGUCCU